AAUGACUUUGCAGAAAAGGAGAGAAAGCUGCAGGAGACACAGAUGUCCACCACCUCAAAGCUGGAGGAAGCUGAGCAUAAGGUUCAGAGCCUACAAACAGCCCUGGAAAAAACUCGAACAGAAUUAUUUGACCUGAAAACCAAAUACGAUGAAGAAACUACUGCAAAGUAAGUCUCUCUGCUUGGCCUCCCUUAUCUGAACACAUUUCUCACCUGAUUUUGCUUGAGUAGGGCAGGAUCGAGAAGGUUCUUGACCUCCGUGCUGCUGCAGGGACACAGUGUCUUUCCCAUGAGUUACUCGCGUCGGUUCAAUGCACGUUCUAGCACUCACUGGGUAAUCCUUCCAACAAACUUCCUUCUUUGUUGUGAUGGCUGGUCACUGCUAUGCCUUCUGCCAUGAAAAUUUGGGAGUUAGUUUAUAUAAGAUGUGACACAUGGGACAUUUUUUGUGUGGAGUUGAGUCUGGGUAAAUCACAUGUCUUUUUCCCUGGGCCACAGUUCUUCAUUUCUCCCAGGGCCCUUUAGGAAGGCCUGCCCCAGAAUAAGCACAUUCCCACGCAG
rnacentral:sRNA from 1 species